GGUUCGAUUAUGGCGCAGACGAACGCUGGCGGGAUGUCAUUUACGCCACGGAAGUCGAACGGCAGCCUGGACUUCGGUCUGGUGGCGAGUGGCGAACGGGUGAGUAAUGUAUCGGAACGUGCCUAGUAGCGGGGGAUGGCGCAGCGUAAUACCGCAUACGCCCUUCGAAGGAGAAAGCAAGGGGACCUUCCGGGCCUCGCACUAUUAAGUAGCCGAUAUCGGAUUAGCUAGUUGGUGGGAGUAACGGCUCACCAAGGCGACGAUCCGUAGCUGGUUUGAGAGGACGACCAGCCACACUGGACUGAGACACGGCCCAGACUCCUACGAGGGAGGCAGCAGUGGGGAAUUUUUGGACAAUGGGAAACCUGAUCCAGCCAUCCCGCGUGUGCGAUGACCUUCAGGUUGUAAAGCACUUUUUGGCAGGAAAGAAACGGCACGGGAUAAUACCCCGUGCCCAGCUGACGAAACACCUGCAGAAUAAGCACCAGCCUUUAACUACGUGCCAGCAGCCGCGAUAAUAACGUAGGAGUGCAAGCGUUAAUCGGAAUUACUGGGCGUAAAGCGUGCGCAGGCGGUUCGGAAAGAAAGAUGUGAAAUCCAGAGCUUAACUUUGGAACUGCAUUUUUAACUACCGAGCUAGAGUGUGUCAGAGGGAGGUGGAAUUCCACGUGUAGCAGUGAAAUGCGUAGAUAUGCGGAGGAACACCGAUGGCGAGCAGCCUCCUGGGAUAACACUGACGCUCAUGCGAAAGCGUGGGAGGCAAACGAGUUAGAUACCCUGGUAGUCCACGCCUAAACGAUGUCAACUAGCUGUUGAGGCCUUCGGGCCUUGGUAGCGCAACUAACGCGUGAAGUUGACCUGCCUAAGGAGUACGGUCGCAAGAUUAAACUCAAGGAAUUGACGAGGACCCGCACAAGCGGUGGAUGAUGUGGAUUAAUUCGAUGCACAACGCGAAAAACCUUACCUACCCUUGACAUGUCUGGAAUCCGAAGAGAUUUGGGAGUGCUCGCAAGAGAACCGGAACACAGGUGCUGCAUGGCUGUCGUCCGGCUCGUGUCGUGAGAUGUUGGGUUAGUCCGCAACGAGCGCAACCCUUGUCAUUGAAUUUGCUACGAAAGGGCUUCAGCUGAGACUUUGCGGUGAUGGCGGAGGAAGGUGGGGAUGACGUCAAGUCCUCAUGGCCCUUAUGGGUAGGGCUUCACACGUCAUACAAUGGUCAGGACAGAGGUCGCCAACCCGCGAGGAGCCAAUCCCGAAGCCCGAUCGUAGUCAGGAUCGCAGUCUGCAACUCGACUGCGUGAAGUCGGAAUCGCUAGUAAUCGCGGAUCAGCAUACGGUGAAUACGUUCCCGGGUCUUGUACACACCGCCCGUCACAUGGAAUUGGGUUUACCAGAAGUAGUUAGCCUUCUUCGUAAGGAGGGCGAUUACCACGGUAGGAUUCAUAGCUGGGGUGAAGUCGUAACAAGGUAG
rnacentral:rRNA from 1 species